GUUUCAUUUGCUGGUAUUUAAGUUGUACUCUUGCCUUCGUCUUGAGGUUUUGUAUUCGACAUUAUGCAUUUUACACAGGGGGGGGGGGGGGGUUAUAUUCUGUUAAAACACUGAUCAGUGUCAUUUGAAGGUGUUAACUUUGGCACCAAGAUCUUAAAAAAAGGGUCAGAGUUAGCUGGAAACACUGAAAAGCUCCGACCCACAACAGCAACAAGCAUUUCGAUGGAGUUAUUUUUUUCAAGAUUUACAGAUUGUUUUUAAUCUGUACUUUGUUUUUUGAGGAAUUUUGAAAGUAUGUUCAUUAUGGCAACUUGUGAACAAAAUUAAAGUGCUAAUUAAGUAUUUAUCUCUGCUACCUGUUUGUUCGUAAAAUUGUACUCUGCUAAAUAAAACGUUUCAGUCCUCAGUUUUGACACAUUUUCUGUGUUAGAUCUGCUUUCUUUGAGUACUGUGUCCCUAAGCAGAGGUUUGGAAAGAAAAUAUAGAAAUAAAAUGCAAAAGCUUACUGCGCACAGCCUGUCUGGUGUUAUUGCAGAUGCUGAUCAAUGCCUGUGUCCAGCUGAGCUCGGGGGAGGGGGCUAUUUCGAGCUCCCAGCAGGUAUUAGGUUGAAAAAGCUCAAAUGUUGCUUUUAACAAACUGGGAUACCAAAUAUUUAUCUGCUGUUUACACUGUGAUGGUCCUAAUGUCUUCUAUUAGAUCAAACUUUGGACAGGAACAACACAAAAAGCUUUGAUGUGGAGGUAAAUAUAAAAAAUAUCAAUACCACCCACCUGUCUAACUUGUUUUUCUGCCAUAUUCAAUCCUUGGCUCUGAUUGGUCAAAAGCCCUGACAGUGGUACUGCACACACUCACACAUAUAUACAGUACAUAUGUAUAUAUAUCAAAGGACAAGAGUUAUAGCACAUCUAGAGUAGGAGGAUUUUACCUCCUUGGGUUGGCUAUAUGAUAGAAUCACCAGACUAACAUGGAGGAUGGAUUAAAAAUUAUUGGCUACUUAUUUGGAAAGCACAAAAUGUUAGAUUGGUUGUUGACAGAUAAGUCGCCAGUAGGAAAAAAGGGAAGAAAGACAAGAAAGAAUGCAGAAAAUAAUGAGAGAUGUAAUUCAAAAAAUUUAGUGAAAAAGACAUCAACCAAAUUGAAGAAAACAGACAUGAAGCAAUGACAAACCCCAAAACAAUUCAGGUAUGUCAUUUCACAGGACUGGUUUAGUGAAAAGAAAAUGAGGACUGAGAAGACAGAUGACAUCCCUGCAUCUGUUAACAUGCAUUGAUAUAAAAGAAAAAAAGGCUUUGUCUUCAAUGAAAGUGUAAAGUUAACUCAAAGUUAUACUUGAGGGUAGAGAGCAUGUGUAACCAGUUCAGGCAUGUGGACAUUAACUCUCAGGGAGGACCAAAGGCUGGUGCUAUGUGAUCCACCAAUACCCUCAGAUUCUGGUUCAUGGGCUUCCUCUGUCAACUCUGGUUCAGAAAGGUGCAAAGAGAGCAAAGAAGACUGAGUUUUCUAAAGGUGAAGUACAGUACUGGAAAUUUAUUUUAAAAACAAAGCCUAUGACUUUGGUGGGUCUCAUCUCCAGCAACACUGAGACAAACUACAUCAAGGACUUCAGUCUCUGUCCAUUUGGAGCAGCAAUAACAAUCUCCUGCUAAACGCAGACAAGAUGAAGGAGAUAGUUCUGACCAUCAGUGGUGAUAGUAAGCAGCACCAAAUUUCUGGGGGUGCACAUCAGUGAGGACCUCUCCUGGACAGCCAACUGCACAUCACUGGUGAAGAAAGCCCAGUCAUCAUGUGCACCAAUUGCCUCAUGUACUUGCACACUGCAGAAAUUAAAAAUAAACACAUCUUGAAUCUUGUACACUGAGACAAACAUACAUAUUUGAGUCUGAUUUUUUAAAUGUGUUGAAAAACAUAACAGAGAUGACCUCAGCCACUGUAGCGUAGCUUUUGUGACGGUUUUCUAGCCAGUUUCUGAACAAUGGGGCCAAGCUGACCAACAUCACCUGAGGCCAAUACGUUUACUACUGACUAGAAUCUCAUACUACCCCACUUUCAAAACAAAGACCAUCCUUUCUGUCCCUUUUUCACCACACAUGCCCUAAGUUUAACUGAUCCAGUAAAGAGUGUACAGGUCAAAUCAUAAACCAGCCUGAAACUGUGAGCUAUGCUGGCUUAUCUACACAUACCAUGAGGCGUAUAUAGAUUCAUUAUCCUGUGGUCCAAAAAGCACCAGUUAGAUAUCUGAUGUUUCAGUGAUAAAUGGCUGCAUAAACAGAGCUCUCAGUCCCUCUCAUGUUUUCACAUCUGAACUAAUGUUUGAAAUAAAAAGCUGAUCUUUGGCCUGGUGCUGCAGCUGUUUGUCUUUGCCUGCUGUGUACAACAUCUGUGAGAGGACAUUAUUGUUUUCUUUGAAGGCCUAAAGAGGGUGAAAGAGGACACACACACACACUCACUCACUCUCUCUUUCACACACACAAACACACACACACGGAGCGAGCUCUGCUGAUGCUGCUGCACCAGGACGGCCUGAUAACUGACCACCUCAGGUUCUUCAUCUGAGCACAGAGAUAAUGAUGACUCCCCUCCCCUCUCUGCACUGCUCUCUUCGUCUCUUCAAAGCCCGGGUGUGCAGCAGGCAGAUUGAUCAGCUGUUUUUUCUGCAUACUGUGUAAGUGAGGAACUUUUGUGCUUUUGUGCAAAGCUUCUGUGUGUGCACAAUGAUUUUUUUUCACAAAGUUUUAUCUGCUCUCAGUAGUGUUGGAAGAGCAGCACCUGCGAUUAAGUGAGCAUUCAUCAUGUGUGUCACAUAUUCUGUUUAAGGAUUUAUGCACAGGAUUUAGAUUUUAAUUAAAAACACUCCACACUGUAUAUUUAGGAGGCCAUACACUCUCUUUAAUGAGUUUCUAGAUAACCAGAGCUGUACAGUAAGUCAGGAGACUAAAUCUGCAGGAGGUAGUGACUCUGAUUUACUUUAUCACACAGGAGCUGCAAGAUUCUUAGAGCACCAAUUCAAUCAAGAGCAGAGUAAUAAAACUGUCAGAUAACAGUUAGGGGUUUUAUUUGGGUCUUUCGGGCUGCAGCUCCUGGGUUAGGACUCAACACUGAACAACACUCAGUACACUGGCUAAAUAUUUGCAAACUUGAAGUUGUUUUAAAUGAAAAAUAAGUAAGAGUUGGUAACUCUAUGUUGACCAUCCUAACAGUGUGCCAUGUGUUAGUCUUUCAAAAUGAAGUGCUGCCAUAUUCAGUGUGCAGUAACUUCACUAAAUGCUGCAGACAUGUCCUUGGUCUGUCAAAUAUUGCGGUUAGUGAGCAAAGAUCUGUAAAAGCACACAAAGUAAUACAGCUUUUUUUCCAUCUUGGACAUGAUCUGAUUCAUCAUUUCUAAUAUUUCAAAUCCCACACCCCAAGCCCUUGUUGAGAUUGUAUUUUAGUUCCACAUCUCACAGCAGUAGAAGAGAUGUCCAUACUAACCUUCAUUCAUGCUCAACCUCUUGUGCAAAUCUCUGAAGCUCCUGUCACAUACUGUGUGGUGUUUUGGCUUCAUUUUUGGACAACAGGAUGAGGAGGUGGAAAGUAGAGAUGCACAAAAUCAAACUGUGAUAAGCCAAAGUUGGCCGCAAGUUGAGUUCCGCAUACAUCAGGUUAAAGAUUAGGGAUUCAGCUUCUGACCAUGGACUCUGCUCCUUUUACAUCCUGAUCCUGUCGUCGUAGUAAAGUCCUUGGCUCUUGGUGAUGAUGCUGAGGAUGAAGAUGAAGGUUCUUAGAGAAAACUUUGUUUCAGCGUUGAAGGUGUGCCUAGUUAGGUAGAUGACAUCGAUCCUGAGGAUUCAGCAGCUAGAUUGCUCUUAUGCAUGUUUUGGCUUAAAAAAAAACACUUCUAUGCAACAUGUUGCCACUGUGGCUGUAUUUUGGCCUCACUUGCAUACAAUGAAAGAAGUUGGGAGUCCUUAUCCAUGAUAAUAUACAGUCAACAAUGUGUUUUUAAUAUCUUGCAGCAUCUCCUCACCACUUUAGCCAGGAGAACUUGAAGCCUUAUUCCUUCACACCAGCAGAGAUAUGCAACGCAUCUCUUUUCAUUCCAAUUAACAAAUGAAGGCUUUCUGCGAGCCAGGGCCAUCUGUCUCCCACUUGGUGGAGGCAUUGUGAGGCUCCAUCCUGCACUACUAUCAUGUAGGAGUGUUUUACCCGGAACAUUAUUGCUCUUUUUCACUCUCACUUCCCACUGACACAGAAAUCCAUCCAACACAAACAGCAACACUGAACAGACAACACACAGAAAGACAAACCCUUACAUUCAAUUUAUGGCUGUUUGUUCACCUGUGGGAGGACAUGUGAGCACUGGGAGGGAAAAAUGCAAUUUAUGAUCAUAUUUUGUCAAGUAUAAGGAGUAACUUAAGUAUGUGAGUUUCACUCCCUUCAGGUUCAAGGUCUAUUGCACCUCUUACUAAAACUUGACAAGUGUGUUUACAGUGUUCCCUGUUUUAACCAUAAAAUUCAAGUCUUGUGAACAGCCAGCAGGGGGCAGCUUCACUAGUUAGAGAAAGAGAGAUUAGAAAGGCAUGAAAAUCUCUUCACGACUCCUCUUCACAUCCCAGUCGUCAAAUCAGCAAUGAUUUUAAGGUCUAAAGUGAUAGUUUCAGAGAUUAUCCACCGCAGUAUGAUGUGGACAUGAUGUGGUCAGUUUAGGGUUAGGGUCAUCUUAUUUCUAAUUUUAAAAUGUCUAAUUAGAUUUCUACUUUUUAAAUGUCUGAUUCAAAUGUCCUAUUUAGUCCAGAAAAACUACUGUGAGAUAAUCGCCCUGUGCUCAAGAAUACAGUGACAUGAGUGCAAGAUAGUAAGUGGUGAGCAAAAUGUAAUAACUUGUGCAGAGAAUAUAAUAACUUAUCAUUGUGUGUGUGCUAGGACAGUGGUUCUCAAGUCCAGUCCUCAAGGCCCACUGUCCUGCAUGUUUUGGAUGUUUCCCUACUUCAAUACACCUGAUUCAAAUGAUCAGCUCGUUAGUAAGCCAUUACAGAGCUUGAUAACGAGCUGAUCAUUUGAAUCAGGUGUGCUGGAGCAGGGAAACAUCCAAAACAUGCAGGACAGUGGGCCUUGAGGACUGGACUUGAGAACCACUGUGCUAAGACGUCAAGACUUGUGCACAUAAAAAAAAUUAUGUUGGACUUUAACAAACUUGUUCCCAUAGUAUCCUUUUCUUGUGAGCCAGGAUAUCCCAUCUUGUGCUGAGAAGAUAAUCAUGAAUGCACAAGAUGAUAACUUGUGUGCCAAAUAUGGAUACCUUGCACAAACAAGAUUAUGACUGGCUCAGCUAAUAAAGCUCUUAUCAGGAUGUGACUUGGCAGCACUAGAUAAUUAAAAAUGUGAAGACAUUUAUCUUCUGCAUCAGAAUAUUAUCAUUUACAGGUACAACAUAAAAACUGGCAAACUGAAAACUUGUGACAGGAGAAAAAUACCUUCAUUGGUAAAAAAAGAUAUUUAUAUUGUGCAAUACAACACACUAACCUCUGUGCAACUUUUCUAGCUAGAUUAUUAAUCAGUGUGAAAGAAUAGCAUGACAUAAAGUGACAAUUUGUGUGCACAAGGUAAUAAUUCUUGUGUUGAUUUUAAAAUUUACUGUCAAGUUUAAACCUGCAGUCGAUAUUUCCAGCUACUGAACCAACAAAAAAAAUGAGCAGAACAGAAAAAAACACGAGACAGACAGUUUCAAACAGCUGUGAAAAAAGUCACAUAUAAAGUACGUACGUUCUAAAAAAGCCUAAACUUUGCCUCACAAAGCUUCUAGUCAAUAGUGUCUGUGUGUCUUUGUGUGUCUUUGUAUGUCUCUGUUCAUCUCUGUUUGUCUUUUGAUGUUCUGCUGAAGUGUUGAAAAUCCCCUGAGCCGAUCCGGGAUUAUGAUCCAGAGGUGAAAAAGCUGAUCAGAGUUGUAAUCUCCUUUCUGUCUCUGGUCCAUGAAUCCUCCUUACAGCAGGCAUUGUCUCUGUCCUGAUCACCUCACUGACCUCUCUCUGAGCAGCUCACUUCCAGGAAUCACUUUACAGCCAUGAUCAAAUAAUCCUGCUCUCCACACUGCAGGCCGUCCUACACGUAACCUUCGGUGUCCUCUCCUGAACCCUGCAUCAGCCUGAGGACACAUUCCUGAAUGGCUGCAAAGCUGUCCAGAUUAAUUAAUGUGAUCCAGGAAAGAGAGGAGCCCUGAUGAUGUUCAUUUAAAGACCUUCUUAAUCCAUAUCAAAUGACAGGGAGGGAAAUGAUAAAAGCAGGGAUUAUCACUCAUAUAAAAGAAAGAUAAAGCUAAAGCUAUAAACUGAAUGUUAUAGCCCUGCAGGUACCAUAAGCUGCAAAAAAAAAACAUUUCUUUAAAUCAUUUAACGUAAUGCGAUGUAGGUUAGAUAAGAUGGGAUCGAAUUUCCCUGAGCUCCAAGCUCUUUUUAUAAAUCACAGCAUAAAUGUCUCUUUCUUUGUUGUAUAACAGCUACUUUGCUGAUUAAUAAAGCGGGUAUUGUACACAAUAGGCAUUAAUUCAAUUUUAACAAUUAGAUGCUAUGUCCUUCAACACUUUUUUCAUGCUAAUAGGGCCCACAACUUCAGCAGCAGUUUCUGUUCUUGUCAAAUGAAGCGCUAAUAACUGCAGUUCCCAAAGUACCCGCUUGAGGCCAGAAGCCUCACUGGAAACACAUUCACUUUUAUCAAAAAGAGUGUUUACAGCCUGGUCCAAUAGAAGGUUUUAGUCUUGAUAGCUAAUUUUUUUAUCUGCAGGGGGUGGAUUUUUAUUGACCUGUUUCAUAGAUGUUACAGUUACACAAGUUUUGCAGCAGUAGAUACAAAGCUGACUUGACUGAUAGGCGAGCACACUGGGCCUUCCAAGGAAGCCAAAGGUCUGCCUUAAAUCCAACUCUCUGCUUCUUCGUAGGUCAAAUGAAGGUAAUGUUGGGCUGUAAAUUUGUGCCUACUGGCAGCAGGAGGAUGAACCCCGCGCAGUGGUAAAUUUAUGCAGUGCAGCCCGACCCACUAUCUGUAGCUGCACAAACUUUUUCAAUGGUUUCAUUGUUCUCUCUUGGUGAAGUAUCCUUGAGCAAAAAUCAGGUAAACAUAGCAGGCUAACACAGACCUGAAGAUAGCCUGGGACCAGCUUUUGUCACAAAGAAACAGUCAGCACCAGUGAAAAGGACACUGACUUUAAGGUUGUGGAAGCUGCCAAAAUGAAAAAUGCCAUCAGUGGACACAGGCCCUAAAAUACUGACAGCGUGAAAAAAGAUCAGAUGGCCUGACAUAAUUUUAAUUCCUCAAUAAUUCUUUUGUUUGGAUUCGAUCUAGUCCCAUAGUUUUGAUCUGAUUAGAUUACUCUAAAGCUGAGACCCUGAACCUCAUGGAGUGAGGAGGUUCCUCAAGGGUAGUUUACAUGUAUGGGUGAUUAUGCUGUGUUAAACAUGUGCCCACAUUUUAAUUGAAAAGCUUCAGUUUCACUGUGUUAAAACCCUGCACUACACAGAAAAAUCCUGAAUUCAAAAAUCAACAAAAACUGAUAGAUUUGACUGAGAGUAAAGAGUUUGAACAUUUACAUAUUAUUGCCUGUUCAGCAGAUAUUAGAAGCUUGUUAGUGGUUAAGCCCACUCCCACACUUUUCUCCAUAUGCCCCUCUCUCCAGCUGAUCUGGGCUUGAUCUUCUCACCCUUUUACUUACAGGUCGAGUUAUCAGGUGAUGUUUAUGUCUUGCUUUCUUCACAUGUGUCUGACCUAAUUUUAUCCACUCUGCCCUGCCUGUUUUUGUGUCACUUUGGUCCCGUUUUGUCGUUCCACCACAGGUUCUCAUUGCUUACUGUGUCCUUAUAUACUCCAGAUGUUUAAACCAUACUUCUGAGGCGGUGGGUGUUAACCAGGCUCUAAAGCUUGUUUGUUGUGUUUUUCUCACCUGCUUCAGGUAGGACUUGUGGAUUUUGGUAUUACUUUAGAUAAUUCAACUGCAGAGCUUGUUGCAAAAUCUUGCCAUUUAUCUAAAUGCUUCUAUUUUUUAAAGGAAGGUGCUUCUGUGUGCAAAUAUUGAUAAUAUUUUAUGCAAGGAUUGACCCAUGAAGUCUAUGCAUCAAAGAGGUGUCAUGAACUUAACUGAAAACAAAAGUUUCUCUUAGGUGAAUACUUGAACACCUGGAAACACAUUGCUGAGAUUUUAAUUUCCAUUUUUUUUUUAAAGGGUGUUUUGUUGUUGUUGAUUUUGUUGUUGUUGUUGUUGUUUUAUGUAGACUGUUAUGAAAACUGAAAAAAAAAAAUUAAAGGUUUCACGCACAAAAGGAAGCUGCUUGUGGAAAAGGGCCCUGAGCUUUUUUUCUGGCACCUGUAUGCUUGCAGGGACUCCUAGUGGACAUUAUCAGUACUGCAGCUAAAGUAAUGCACAAUAAACAAACUUCAAGGAUGGUGAUUAAAUCUGUGUGCAUCUCAGUUUUAACUAAAAUCUUCUUUAAACAACUUCAAAAAAUGCUUCUAUCAUAUAACAAAUUAAAAAUGAUGAGAAGAAAUAGCUCCAUAUGUUCCAGUGAGAAACUCUUAUUGGUAUAUUAAAAAGCUCUGGUAUUGUCAAAACAGAUAAAGACUUUUUUUUUUCCUGUGUUUGCUGUGUAGGUAUUUUCUUGGACCUCAGGUUCACCUUUUUUGUCCAG
rnacentral:lncRNA from 1 species